rnacentral:lncRNA from 1 species
AUCCUUGCAACGUGAUCCGAUUUCAGAGAGUAGUUUUCCACUAAAAUCUGCACAAUUGUGGAAGCAAAGUUCCUGUAAAGAAGGUCGAAGUAAUAGCUGAAUGGAUGAAUCAUUAAGCUGACCACAAUCAAGCUUUAAGCUUUGAAGGUGAGAAUUUGGUGGCAACAGUGACUUGAUUAGUUCCAUAGACGGCGAUAUAUCCUGCCAAAUGAUAAAUGCAUAUUAGGGUUCAAUUUGGAACUCCAGAAGACAGCAUCAAGAUUCAAAAGUUCAGAUUUUCGUGUGUUUAUGGAGGACCUGGGAAAUGAUAAAAAUUAAUACAUCUUUUUUUUUUUUUGCAGUUCGAAACCCAAAUCAAAAACUAAACAACUGAGGGCAAUUGAAAAUUUUUUCUCUUUCACUUUCCGCAGGAUCCAAUUCCUCCUUUCGCCAAGUAAAGAGAAACCAAAAAAGGAUGCAAAGGAAGGGCAAAUAAAACUUACAAGGAUAUGAAAAUUGGGAAGAAAAGAGAGGAUAUGAGAAGCACAGGAAUUGAAAGCCUUGCAGGUGACAGCCAAA